GGGGCUAAGCUAUAUACCGAAGCUGCGGACGCGUGCGCUCCUUUAAGUGCACCAAGCUUGUCGAUGCGCAGCAUCGACAAAGCCGCCAACAAUGAUCGUUGGUGGUGAUGCUAGUGGAUUUAAAGGAGCGUACGCGUGGUAGGAGAGCGUUCUGUAAGCCUGUGAAGGUGUCUUGUAAAGGAUGCUGGAGGUAUCAGAAGUGCGAAUGCUGACAUGAGUAGCGAUAAAGGGGGUGAAAGGCCCCCUCGCCGUAAGCCCAAGGUUUCCUACGCAACGUUCAUCGGCGUAGGGUGAGUCGGCCCCUAAGGCGAGGCAGAGAUGCGUAGCUGAUGGGAAGCAGGUUAAUAUUCCUGCACCGUCGUAUGAUGCGAUGGGGGGACGGAUCGCGGAAGGUUGUCCGGGUGUUGGAAGUCCCGGUCCCUGCAUUGGAGAAGGCGCUUUGGCAAAUCCGGGCGCGGAAUUCAAGGAUGCGGGGCGAGCGGCCUAGUGCUGCGAAGCAAUUGGAAGUGGUUCCAAGAAAAGCCUCUAAGCUUCAGUCAUACGAGACCGUACCGCAAACCGACACAGGUGGGCGAGAUGAGUAUUCUAAGGCGCUUGAGAGAACUCGGGAGAAGGAACUCGGCAAAUUGGUACCGUAACUUCGGGAUAAGGUACGCCCUGGUAGCUUGACUGGCCUGCGCCAGAAGGGUGACGGGGUUGCAAUAAAAUGGUGGCUGCGACUGUUUAAUAAAAACACAGCACUCUGCAAACACGAAAGUGGACGUAUAGGGUGUGACGCCUGCCCGGUGCCGGAAGAUUAAAUGAUGGGGUGCAAGCUCUUGAUUGAAGUCCCGGUAAACGGCGGCCGUAACUAUAACGGUCCUAAGGUAGCGAAAUUCCUUGUCGGGUAAGUUCCGACCUGCACGAAUGGCGUAACGAUGGCCACACUGUCUCCUCCCGAGACUCAGCGAAGUUGAAGUGUUUGUGAUGAUGCAAUCUCCCCGCGGCUAGACGGAAAGACCCCAUGAACCUUUACUGUAGCUUUGCAUUGGACUUUGAACCGAUCUGUGUAGGAUAGGUGGGAGGCUUUGAAGCGUGGACGCUAGUUCACGUGGAGCCGUCCUUGAAAUACCACCCUGGUUUGUUUGAGGUUCUAACCUUGACCCGUGAAUCCGGGUCGGGGACAGUGCAUGGUAGGCAGUUUGACUGGGGCGGUCUCCUCCCAAAGUGUAACGGAGGAGUUCGAAGGUACGCUUGGUACGGUCGGACAUCGUACCUAAAGUGCAAUGGCAAAAGCGUGCUUAACUGCGAGACCGACAAGUCGAGCAGGUGCGAAAGCAGGACAUAGUGAUCCGGUGGUUCUGAAUGGAAGGGCCAUCGCUCAACGGAUAAAAGGUACUCUGGGGAUAACAGGCUGAUACCGCCCAAGAGUUCAUAUCGACGGCGGUGUUUGGCACCUCGAUGUCGGCUCAUCUCAUCCUGGGGCUGUAGCCGGUCCCAAGGGUAUGGCUGUUCGCCAUUUAAAGAGGUACGUGAGCUGGGUUUAAAACGUCGUGAGACAGUUUGGUCCCUAUCUGCCGUGGGCGUUGGAAUCUUGACGGGGGCUGCUCCUAGUACGAGAGGACCGGAGUGGACGUACCGCUGGUGUACCUGUUGUCUCGCCAGAGGCAUCGCAGGGUAGCUAUGUACGGAAGAGAUAACCGCUGAAAGCAUCUAAGCGGGAAACUCGCCUGAAGAUGAGGAUUCCCUGGAGGCUUGACCUCCUUGAAGGGUCGUUCGAGACCAGGACGUUGAUAGGCUGGGUGUGGAAGCGCAGUAAUGCGUUAAGCUAACCAGUACUAAUUGCCCGUAAGGCUUGAUCCU
rnacentral:rRNA from 1 species